UACGUAGGGCGCAAGCGUUGUCCGGAAUUAUUGGGCGUAAAGAGCUCGUAGGCGGUUUGUCGCGUCUGUCGUGAAAGCCCCGGGCUCAACCUGGGAAUGGCAGUGGAUACUGGCAAGCUAGAGUGCGGUAGAGGGGUGUGGAAUUCCCGGUGUAGCGGUGAAAUGCGUAGAGAUCGGGAGGAACACCAGUGGCGAAGGCGGCACCCUGGACCAGCACUGACACUGAGGCACGAAAGCGUGGGGAGCAAACAGG
rnacentral:rRNA from 1 species